UUUAUAGCAAAGGCCUCAGCAUCGUCGGCCAUUUUUUCGAAGAUUCAACUGAGUGUGCGAAUGUGUGCAUUUGUGUGUAGGUGUGUGUGUGGUUGAUCUAUGCUGCCAACGUCGCUGCUGCUGCUGUUGCUUUCGAUAGAGACGCAUCUUUGUGUGUCUUUAUUUCAAAAUCGAUUUUAUACGCGCUCUCAAAAAACAAAAAAAAAAAAACAAUUUGAA